rnacentral:tRNA from 1 species
GGGGGCGUGGCGGAAUUGGUUGACGCAGGGCACUCAAAAUGCCCCGACCGCAAGGUCUUGCCGGUUCGAGUCCGGCCGCCCCUA